ACACGGGUCAAAGUCUUCACUGAGUCUCACGCCCUCACCCCACCGAGUUGACCCCACUCUUCUCCUUCCUCUUUUAUUGACAUCAACAUUUGAUUCCAGUUCAUCAAGCAUUUGAGUUUUCUUCUUCUAAAUUUAACUUCUCAACUCUUUGGCUCAUCUGGCGUCUCUUCCUUUUGGUUUUGUAAACACGACGAUGACUCUUCACAAGAAAGAAGAUGAAGAUAAAACUUCAUCUUUAUCUACACCAUUCGAGAAAAUACUUCUUGUUGAUAAGUUUGAAAAAGAAGUAAAUCUGAGGGUAGAUGAAGGAACAGAAACCUGUACAACUCCAACUGCUAAAGAGCAUAGGAUUCCAGAAGUGGUAACGUGUCCUCCGGCACCCAGGAAGCGAAAAGCUUCUUUCUUGAGUAUCAAGAAUGUCUCCAACAAGAAGUCCAAGAAUGUUGACAAGCUGUUUGUCUUUUCUGAUUUCGAACCAAUGCCAGGGCUUCAUCAAAUUUCUUGUAAUAAGAUUCCAUGGAGAUCCAAGAAGAAGUUUCAUUAGUGCUAGAUUAGUUUUGCAAAUUAAUUGUUCAUGAUAUAGUAUACAGGCAAUUCUAGAUUUAUUUUAAUUGGAACAGACAUUUGUUCCUUCUGAUAUAAAGUUCCAAGUUAUUUUCUGUAUAACAAAACAUUGGUUUUGUUUUCUUGUUGCCAUGACAGCAACAACUGUCCUUGUAAUAAAGAAGAUCUUAAGCAGUAGGCCUUUUAUUUUCAUAAUAAGCAACAUUUGAAUAA